rnacentral:rRNA from 1 species
CAAUGGGCGCAAGCCUGAUGCAGCCAUGCCGCGUGUGUGAAGAAGGCCUUCGGGUUGUAAAGCACUUUCAGUUGGGAGGAAGGGNNUUAAAUUAAUACUUUGCUGUUUUGACGUUACCGACAGAAUAAGCACCGGCUAACUCCGUGCCAGCAGCCGCGGUAAUACGGAGGGUGCAAGCGUUAAUCGGAAUUACUGGGCGUAAAGCGCGCGCAGGUGGUUCGUUAAGUCGGAUGUGAAAUCCCCGGGCUCAACCUGGGAACUGCAUUCGAAACUGGCNAGCUAGAGUCUUGUAGAGGGGUGGUGGAAUUUCACGUGUAGCGGUGAAAAUGCGUAGAGAUCGGGAGGAACACCGGUGGCGAAGGCGACCCCCUGGACAUGAUACUGACGCUCAGGUGCGAAAGCGUGGGGAGCAAACAGGAUUAGAUA